CACGUAGGCGGUUCGUUAAGUCGGAUGUGAAAGCCCUCGGCUCAACUGAGGAAGUGCACCCGAAACUGGCGAGCUUGAGUACGAAAGAGGAUCGCGGAAUUCCCGGUGUAGAGGUGAAAUUCGUAGAUAUCGGGAGGAACACCGGUGGCGAAGGCGGCGAUCUGGGUCGAUACUGACGCUGAGGUGCGAAAGCGUGGGGAGCAAACA
rnacentral:rRNA from 1 species